rnacentral:rRNA from 1 species
AUUGAACGCUGGCGGCAGGCCUAACACAUGCAAGUCGAACGGUAGCACAGAGGAGCUUGCUCCUUGGGUGACGAGUGGCGGACGGGUGAGUAAUGUCUGGGAAACUGCCCGAUGGAGGGGGAUAACUACUGGAAACGGUAGCUAAUAUCGCAUAACGUCGCAAGACCAAAGAGGGGGACCUUCGGGCCUCUUGCCAUCGGAUGUGCCCAGGUGGGAUUAGCUAGUAGGUGGGGUAACGGCUCACCUAGGCGACGAUCCCUAGCUGGUCUGAGGGGAUGACCAGCCACACUGGAACUAAGACGCGGUCCAGGCUCCUACGGGAGGCAGCAGUGGGGAAUAUUGCACAAUGGGCGAAAGCCUGAUGCAGCCAUGCCGCGUGUAUGAAGAAGGCCUUCGGGUUGUAAAGUACUUUCAGCGAGGAGGAAGGUGUUGAGGUUAAUAACCUCAGCAAUUGACGUUACUCGCAGAAGAAGCACCGGCUAACUCCGUGCCAGCAGCCGCCGUAA